rnacentral:rRNA from 1 species
UACGUAGGGUGCAAGCGUUAAUCGGAAUUACUGGGCGUAAAGCGUGCGCAGGCGGUUUUGUAAGACUGUCGUGAAAUCCCGGGGCUCAACCUCGGAACUGCCUUUGAUACUGCAAAUCUCGAGUCCGGAAGAGGCGAGUGGAAUUCCUGGUGUAGCGGUGAAAUGCGCAGAUAUCAGGAGGAACACCAAUUGCGAAGGCAGCUCGCUGGAACGUAACUGACGCUGAGACGCGAAAGCGUGGGGAGCAAACAGG